rnacentral:rRNA from 1 species
GACGAACCGUGCGAACGUUGUUCGGAAUCACUGGGCUUAAAGGGCGCGUAGGCGGUCUACCAAGUCCGGGGUGAAAGCCUCCAGCUUAACUGGAGAAGUGCCUUGGAUACUGGUGGACUCGAGCGAGGCAGGGGUCGUGGGAACUUCCGGUGGAGCGGUGUAAUGCGUUGAUAUCGGAAGGAACGCCGGUGGCGAAAGCGCACGACUGGUCCUCUUCUGACGCUGAGGCGCGAAAGCCAGGGGAGCAAACGGG